AUGUCGUCGGCGGCGCAGCAGCUGCCGCGGACGGAGUCGCGGACGCUGUCGGGGCACGAGGGCGCGGUGCUCGCCGUUCGCUUCAACCACGACGGCAAGUACUGCCUGAGCUGCGGCAAGGACCGCACCGUCCGCCUCUGGAACCCCCACACCGGCGCCCACGUCAAGACCUAUAAAUCCCACGGUCGCGAGGUUCGCGACGUGAACGCGUCCUCGGACAACGCCAAGCUGGUGUCGUGCGGCGGGGACAAGCAGAUCUUCUACUGGGAUGUUGCCUCCGGCAAAGUCAUCCGCAAGUUCCGCGGCCACAACAGCGAGGUCAAUUCAGUGAAGUUUAAUGAGCACAACACUGUUGUACUGUCAGCUGGUUAUGACCGUUCGGUGCGUGCAUUUGACUGCAGGUCACAGAGCAGUGAUCCGAUUCAGACAAUUGAUACUUUUCAAGACAGUGUAAUGUCAGUUAAUGUAACCAACACCGAAAUAAUUGCUGGCAGUGUUGAUGGUACUGUCCGAACAUUUGAUAUUCGCAUGGGCAGGGAGACUGUCGAUAACCUGGGUCAUCCUGUCAACUGUAUAUCUUUGUCGAAUGACCGCAAUUGCCUCUUGGCUAACUGUUUGGAUUCUACCGUGAGGCUUCUUGACAAGAACUCUGGGGAAAUGUUACAAGAGUACAAGGGCCAUAUAUGCAAGUCCUUCAAGAUGGAUUGCUGCCUGACCAAUGAUGAUGCAUUUGUUAUCGGCGGAUCCGAGGACGGGUUUGUUUUCUUCUGGGAGUUAGUGGAUGCACCUAUUGUUGCGACUUUCCGAGCACAUAGCUCUGUGGUUACCAGCGUCACUUAUCACCCAACAAAGACCUGCAUGUUGACGUCAUCUGUCGAUGGGACCAUUCGUGUUUGGACCUGA
rnacentral:rRNA from 1 species